AGUUCCUGAGGGUGGAGAAGAGAUGAAACGUUAACGAAGCUUGGACUUAAACAAGGGCACACAACGUGAGCUGGCCAGACGUAAGCACCGAGGAAGGAACAACGGACUGGCGUUGAAAACAGGUCCUGGAUCUCCUUAAGUAGGCGGGGAUGAAGAUGAGGGGAACCAGAUCCUCCCCAGCCCGACCAGCCAGACCAGGAGAGAGGGGGAGACCCCCGGACAAGGAGCGUCUCCAGCGACGGGACCCAGGCCGGGACCCACCCAGCCAGGUGCAGAGGGGGCCGCCCUACAAGGGCCCCUCUGGGACCGGGAGGCACAGGCGUUCGAUGUCCUUUCACAGACCAAAUCUCAGGUUUUCCCUGCAGGGCUGUCCGAAUCCAGGCCUUGUAGGCCGACGUCUACCAUGUUUUCCAACCAACUUACCAAUGUUGAAGCUCUUUAUUGGCUGAACGCACCUGAUCCAGGAUCUCCUCGUGGUUUCUUCCAGAACAGAACACCAGUUCAUUACUUUGGGUGUGUUUGUGUGUGUAUGUUUUCAUUGUUUCUAUAACUCCAAAGUUUAGUAGUUUUGGCUCUGUUUGCUGCUGUUUUCCUCAUAUUUAGUCAAGCAACUCUUCAUGUUUAUGACAAUUGUCUUGUUUUUUUGCACCACUAAAAUAUGUAGUUCUACGAAAAUCCUACCAAAAUCUGUUGUCUUGCUAAUUUUGAACAAGAGGUAAAUUUUGUUUUAGAAAAAUCUCACAUCGUAAGGAUUUUGCCAUUAUUUGGGAAGUCUUUAUCAGAUUAGACUCCCUUCAUGCUGACCCCUUUCUCAGUUUCUUCCUGAGUGGAUUUUGUAGAGGAAGCUUCUCUUUCUUCCAGUGUGGUGCAGCUGCCUCUUUUCCUAUAUUUUAGACAAAUUAUCUCCAGUCAUUACUGAUCUGUUUUCUAGUGCAAAAGAAUGACUAAUCAGGAGAAUCAGUAGCGGGUGGGGAGGAAAAGAAACUGAAAGGUGAGCAAUGGGAAGUCAAGACAUUUUCUGUGCACACACACACACACGGAGGGGAUGCAGAGUUUACACUGAACGAGAAAUGGAGCAAAGCCUUCGCCCAUGCGUGUCUCAGAUAUUGGCCGACUCCAACACCCUGCACCCCACCACGUUUUUAGCACCUGUUCUCAAAAGGCGGAGAAGAAUCCACAACAACAUCUGAUGCCCACAUGACUGCUGCUCAAGCUGAACUCUCAUUCUGGAGGGUAUUGGACCUCUGCCACUCUCUGUUAGAAGGAACUAAGACCCAUUUAUCUUACAAAUAUGUAAAAAGAAGGAGAGAAAAAAAAAUUAAGUCAAGCAGACCUCCCAUGCUUUUUACUGGAUUUUCAGUCCAACAUGAAUGUCUGUUUUUUGUUGGCAUCCUCCGGUUGGGAAGAAGCUGUCUGUGAUUUCAAAAAUCCACCAGUUAUCCUACAUCACUUUCCACCAACACUUGGGUAACAUGAAAGCAUGAAAAGAAUGAGUUUAUAAUUAUUUUCCUAAAGAUAAAAGGGGGAAACAUUCUAACUCUGCCUCAUCCUGCUCCUCAGGUGCAGUUCUGCACUGAGGAACUGUCAUGCAAAGGUGGUGGAUACUCAACGCCCUUAUGUCGUUUCCAGAUGUCCAGCUGAGUGAAAUCAGACCUGAGAUGGACUUACUUCAUUUAUGCUUCUCUUGAUGUAAAACUAAAUUAAAACAAAACCAAAAAGG